rnacentral:rRNA from 1 species
GACGAACGCUGGCGGCGUGCCUAAUACAUGCAAGUCGAACGCUGAAGGAGGAGCUUGCUUCUCUGGAUGAGUUGCGAACGGGUGAGUAACGCGUAGGUAACCUGCCUGGUAGCGGGGGAUAACUAUUGGAAACGAUAGCUAAUACCGCAUAAGAGUAGAUGUCGCAUGACAUUUGCUUAAAAGGUGCAAUUGCAUCACUACCAGAUGGACCUGCGUUGUAUUAGCUAGUUGGUGAGGGAACGGCCCCACAAGGCAACGAUGCAUAGCCGCCCAGGGAGGGGGGUCGGCCCAACUGGGACUGGGACACCGCCCAGAAUCCUACGGGAGGGAGCAGUAGGGAAUCUUCGGGAAAUGACGGAAGUCUGACCGAGGAACGGCGGGUUGAGGAAGAAGGUUCUCGGAUCGGAAAGCCCCGUUGUUAGGGAAGAACGAGUGUGGGAGUGGAAAGUUCACACUGUGACGGUAUCUAACCAGAAAGGGACGGCUAACUACGUG